rnacentral:rRNA from 1 species
UACGGAGGGUGCAAGCGUUAAUCGGAAUUACUGGGCGUAAAGCGCACGUAGGUGGUUUGCUAAGUCAGCUGUGAAAUCCCCGGGCUUAACCUGGGCACUGCAGUUGAAACUGGCAAGCUAGAGUAGGGUAGAGGGGUGUGGAAUUCCAGGUGUAGCGGUGAAAUGCGUAGAUAUCUGGAGGAACAUCAGUGGCGAAGGCGACUCACUGGACACAUAUUGACGCUGAGGUGCGAAAGCGUGGGGAGCAAACAGG